rnacentral:rRNA from 1 species
CGGGGACCCGCACAAGCGGUGGAGCAUGUGGUUUAAUUCGACGAUACGCGAAGAACCUUACCUGGCCUUGACAUAGGAAGAACUUACUAGAGAUAGUUUGGUGCUAGCCUGCUAGAACUUCAUACAGGUUGCUGCACGGCUGUCGUCAGCUCGUGUCGUGAGAUGUUGGGUUAAGUCCCGCAACGAGCGCAACCCUCGUGUUUAGUUACUAACAGUUCGGCUGAGGACUCUAGACAGACUGCCUGGGUAACCAGGAGGAAGGUGAGGACGACGUCAAGUCAUCAUGGCCCUUACGGCCAGGGCCACACACGUGCUACAAUGGGGUAUACAAAGAGCCGCGAUACCGCGAGGUGGAGCAAAUCUCAUAAAAUAUCUCCCAGUUCGGAUUGAAGUCUGCAACUCGACUUCAUGAAGUUGGAAUCGCUAGUAAUCGUGAAUCAGCAAUGUCACGGUGAAUACGUUCCCGGGUCUUGUACUCACCGCCC